rnacentral:rRNA from 1 species
UACGUAGGGUGCGAGCGUUGUCCGGAAUUAUUGGGCGUAAAGAGCUUGUAGGCGGUUUGUCGCGUCUGCUGUGAAAUCUCAAGGCUCAACCUUGAGCUUGCAGUGGGUACGGGCAGACUAGAGUGUUGCAGGGGAGACUGGAAUUCCUGGUGUAGCGGUGAAAUGCGCAGAUAUCAGGAAGAACACCCGUGGCUAAGGCGGCUCUCUAGUACGGUACUGACGCUGAGACGCGAAAGCGUGGGGAGCGAACAGG